UAGCAAAAAAUAAAGAGUAAGUUAAUCCGAUAUUAAAAUAAACCUACGUUGUUGGAAUCUGGCAUUAAUGAUACAAAUCAAACCCACUAAAUAGACUUGGUUCUUAGAAUGUGACAAUUAAGAGAUUGAUGUUGAGAAUACAAUUUUUAAUAUAAAAACAUUGAUCAUGAAAUAUAUCAUCUGUCUAAAAGUCAUUCUUAUCUUAUAUAAAUUAUUCUACCAUAUUUUAUAAAUAUAAAAAUUAUAUUUAUUAUAAAAAAAACGAGAUCAUUGAUGUCUAAAAUUAUACUCUCUAAUUGCACUAUAUAUUAUACUCUCUAAUUGCACUAUAUAUUAGCACUGUACAUUUCAAUGCUAGAAUUGUUAAUAUUUAUUUUUAUAUCUCUGUAUCUUUUAUAUGAGCGCUCGAUUGUCCGUUGCCGAUUGACCAAUUUAAAAUAAAAUUUGAUUGAUUGAUCCAGUGAAAAAUCUUCUGACACCUGUCAUUGUAAGUAGCUGUAUAUCUAAUUAAAACAUGGUCAAACGGGAUGCUAUCCUUUUACAUAAAUGCCAUCAUGUUAUUUCGCAACAUGUUGUUGGACUCAGAUAACAGAGAAUGAUGGAAAAAAUGACAAAAUGAUGUUGCGAUAGCAGAGUACAUGUUGACUGAACAGAAUAUAUUCAGUAGACACUCACUCAAUAAUUGUAUGUACAAUGGUGUUUUUUAAAUGCAAUAAUUACCAAUAAAUCUUUAUUCCGAUCUCUA